rnacentral:rRNA from 1 species
AUUGAACGCUGGCGGCAGGCCUAACACAUGCAAGUCGAACGAGUGGCGGACGUGUGCGUAGUGUCUGGGACACUGCCUGCUGGAGGGGGAUAACUACUGGAAACGGUAGCUAAUACCGCAUCCUCGCAGAUGUGCCCAUGGGGGAUUAGCUAGUUGGGGGGGUAAGGGCUCACCAAGGCGACGAUCCCUAGCUGGUCUGAGCGGAUGACCAGCCACACUGGAACUGAGACACGGUCCAGACUCCGACGGGAGGCAGCAGUGGGGAAUAUGGCACAAUGGGCGCAAGCCUGAUGAAGCCAUGCCGCGUGUAUGAAGAAGGCCUUCGGGUUGUAAAGUACUUUCAGCGGGGAGGCGUUACCCGCAGAAGAAGCACCGGCUAACUCCGUGCCAGCAGCCGCGGUAAUAC